GUUUGAGAGGACGACCAGCCACACUGGGACUGAGACACGGCCCAGAGUCCCUACGGGAGGCAGCAGUGGGGAAUUUUGGACAAUGGGGGCAAGUCCUGAUCCANCCAUCCCGCGUGUGCGAUGAAGGCCUUCGGGUUGUAAAGCACUUUUGGCAGGAAAGAAACGGCGCUGGUUAAUACCUGGCGCAACUGACGGUACCUGCAGAAUAAGCACCGGCUAACUACGUGCCAGCAGCCGCGGUAAUACGUAGGGUGCAAGCGUUAAUCGGAAUUACUGGGCGUAAAGCGUGCGCAGGCGGUUCGGAAAGAAAGAUGUGAAAUCCCAGGGCUUAACCUUGGAACUGCAUUUUUAACUACCGGGCUAGAGUGUG
rnacentral:rRNA from 1 species